rnacentral:rRNA from 1 species
GACGAACGCUGGCGGCAUGCCUAACACAUGCAAGUCGAGCGAGUAGAUCCCUUCGGGGUGAAGCUAGCGGCGGACGGGUGAGUAACACGUGGGCAACCUGCCUCAUAGAGGGGAAUAGCCUUCCGAAAGGAAGAUUAAUACCGCAUAAGAUCGUAGCUUCGCAUGAAGCAGCAAUUAAAGGAGCAAUCCGCUAUGAGAUGGGCCCGGGGCGCAUUAGCUAGUUGGUGAGGUAACGGCUCACCAAGGCGACGAUGCGUAGCCGACCUGAGAGGGUGAUCGGCCACAUUGGGACUGAGACACGGCCCAGACUCCUACGGGAGGCAGCAGUGGGGAAUAUUGCACAAUGGGGGAAACCCUGAUGCAGCAAUGCCGCGUGAGUGAUGACGGCCUUCGGGUUGUAAAGCUCUGUCUUCGGGGACGAUAAUGACGGUACCCGAGGAGGAAGCCACGGCUAACUACGUGCCAGCCGCCGCGGUAA